UACGUAGGGUGCAAGCGUUGUCCGGAAUUAUUGGGCGUAAAGAGCGUGUAGGCGGCCCGAUUAGUCCGCUGUAAAAGUCAAAGGCUCAACCUUUGAAUGUCAGUGGAUACUGCCGGGCUAGAGUCCGGAAGAGGCGAGUGGAACUCCUGGUGUAGCGGUGGAAUGCGCAGAUAUCAGGAAGAACACCGACGGCGAAGGCAGCUCGCUGGGGACGGUACUGACGCUGAGGCGCGAAAGCGUGGGGGAGCGAACAGG
rnacentral:rRNA from 1 species